rnacentral:rRNA from 1 species
UAAAAGUUUGCGCAGCUAAUACAUGCAAGUCGGACGGGAUCCAGCUGGUAGCUUGCUACCGGUUGGUGAGAGUGGCGCACGGGUGCGUAACGCGUGAGCAACCUACCCAUAUCAGGGGGAUAGCCCGAAGAAAUUCGGAUUAACACCGCAUGACACAAAUUGACCGCAUGGUUUAUUUGUCAAAUAUUCAUAGGAUAUGGAUGGGCUCGCGUGACAUUAGCUAGUUGGUGGGGUAACGGCCCACCAAGGCGACGAUGUCUAGGGGCUCUGAGAGGAGAAUCCCCCACACUGGUACUGAGACACGGACCAGACUCCUACGGGAGGCAGCAGUAAGGAAUAUUGGUCAAUGGGGGCAACCCUGAACCAGCCAUGCCGCGUGCAGGAUGACUGCCCUAUGGGUUGUAAACUGCUUUUGUUAGGGAAUAAACCCCACUACGUGUAGUGGGCUGAAUGUACCUAAAGAAUAAGGAUCGGCUAACUCCGUGCCAGCAGCCGCGGUAAUACGGAGGAUCCGAGCGUUAUCCGGAUUUAUUGGGUUUAAAGGGUGCGUAGGCGGCACUUUAAGUCAGGGGUGAAAGACGGCAGCUCAACUGUCGCAGUGCCCUUGAUACUGAAGUGCUUGAAUGCGGUUGAAGACGGCGGAAUGAGACAAGUAGCGGUGAAAUGCAUAGAUAUGUCUCAGAACACCGAUUGCGAAGGCAGCUGUCUAAGCCGUUAUUGACGCUGAUGCACGAAAGCGUGGGGAUCGAACAGGAUUAGAUACCCUGGUAGUCCACGCCCUAAACGAUGAUGACUCGAUGUUUGCGAUAUACCGUAAGCGUCCAAGCGAAAGCGUUAAGUCAUCCACCUGGGGAGUACGC